rnacentral:rRNA from 1 species
GAGAAACCCAAAAGAUCGAAUGGGGAGAUUCAUCGUCAGCUCAUAUUAUAUAUAUGCUAGUUAUGAUAUGGGUUACUACUUGUAGUAUUGCCUGUACAUUCUUGUAUAUUUAAUUGUAACAUGUUGUCGGCGUGCACUUCUCCCCUAGUAGGACGUCGCGACCCGUUGAGUUGUUGGUCUACGGCCCAAGUGGGAGCUUUUAAUGAAUUUUAUUCAUUGAAAACCCUUGGUGUUUCCUGACUGGCACUCGUCGGUAUUCGUAUGGUAUUGAGCCGCAUAUUAUAUGCGUCCAUAUCUGCCGCAAGCGAGGCUAGUUACUGAUAGUGCGGACCUAGUGCCGUCGUUGGUGCUAAUCAGCUGUUGGUUGUGCAGAAUUCUAGGACUGGCUCGUUGAAAUACCGGUCAGCGAUGCUACUGCUUUGGGUACUUUCAGGACCCGUCUUGAAACACGGACCAAGGAGUCUAACAUGUACGCGAGUCAUUGGGAUUUUUAUAAAUUAAACCUAAAGGCGUAAUGAAAGU